rnacentral:rRNA from 1 species
AGUGAACGCUGGCGGUAGGCCUAACACAUGCAAGUCGAACGGCAGCACAGUAAGAGCUUGCUCUUACGGGUGGCGAGUGGCGGACGGGUGAGGAAUACAUCGGAAUCUACUUUUUCGUGGGGGAUAACGUAGGGAAACUUAAGCUAAUACCGCAUACGACCUACGGGUGAAAGCAGGGGAUCUUCGGACCUUGCGCGAUUGAAUGAGCCGAUGUCGGAUUAGCUAGUUGGAGGGGUAAAGGCCCACCAAGGCGACGAUCCGUAGCUGGUCUGAGAGGAUGAUCAGCCACACUGGAACGGAGACACGGACCAGACUCCUGCGGGAGGCAGCAGUGUGGAAUAUUGGACAAUGGGGGCAAGCCUGAUCCAGCCAUACCGCGUGGGUGAAGAAGGCGUUCGGGUUGGAAAGCCCUUUUGUUGGGAAAGAAAAUCAGCAGGUUAAUACCCCGCUGUUCUGACGGUACCCAAAGAAUAAGCACCGGCUAACUUCGUG